GCGCGCCCGAGCGCUGCCGCGGGGUUCCCGGCGGGAGGCGGCCAAGCCAGUGGCUCCUCGGAAUGGCGUGGUCGCCACGAAUCAGCAAGUGAUGAUUGAGGGUCUACAUGAGAUCUAAAGAAAAAAGACACGUGCCUGGUUUAUAAGCCUAAUCGAAAUGAACACAGAUACACACAACCAACUGUGAUGCUGGCUCAAGAGGUCUCCAGCUCCUCAGGUGAUUUUCAUAUGCAGCCAAGUAUGAGAACAAAUGCUUUCUGCCCAUUCCUACUACAGUGAUGACCAUGGCCCAGGAGCAUCAGCAGAGCCUGUAAGAUGGACAGAAAUGCAAGGUCUCAGACCUUCCCCAGACCUGCUGAAUCAGAAUCUGCAUUUUUUUUUUCUUCAGGGCAGGUGGAGUGUGGUGUUUUUCCAAGGGGGCAAAGAAGGCUCACAGGAUGCAAUAUGUGGCUUGGGGUAUGUGUGGGGGUAGUUUGUGGGGCAAGGAGAGGAUGAGCUGGGGUGGGUGAAACCAUAAUCUGCAUUUUAAUAAGAUCCGCCAGGUGAUUCAUUUGCAUUAACGUUUGAAAAGCACUGGGUUUGGGA